CUGGGGACCACCCAAAUAGUUGGGUUGGGAGAUAAUAGGCGGCCGGUGAAAGAUUGUGGAUCACCUGUUAGAGGGUGGGAUUACUGUACAGGGUUACAGCCUGGAGAGAGAGAGAGGCUAGGGUUGUUGAUCUUUGAUUUCCAUUGUCUGCUUUAUUAUGUACAUGGCCAAAUUACUCUCUGUCAUUUUGUGGAUUUUGUUCAAUUGUUGUUACAGC